UACGGGGGGAGCAAGCGUUGUUCGGAUUUACUGGGCGUAAAGGGCGCGUAGGCGGCCACCGCAAGUCAGUUGUGAAAUCUCUGGGCUUAACUCAGAAAGGUCAACUGAUACUGCGGGGCUAGAGUGCAGAAGGGGCAACUGGAAUUCUCGGUGUAGCGGUGAAAUGCGUAGAUAUCGAGAGGAACACCUGCGGCGAAGGCGGGUUGCUGGGCUGACACUGACGCUGAGGCGCGAAAGCUAGGGGAGCGAACGGG
rnacentral:rRNA from 2 species